UACGUAGGUGGCAAGCGUUGUCCGGAUUUACUGGGCGUAAAGAGCGCGCAGGCGGUCGUUCAAGUCGCGUGUGAAAGCCCCCGGCUCAACUGGGGAGGGUCACGCGAUACUGAUCGACUCGAAGGCAGGAGAGGGAAGUGGAAUUCCCAGUGUAGAGGUGAAAUUCGUAGAUAUUGGGAAGAACACCGGUGGCGAAGGCGGCUCACUGGCUCAUUUCUGACGCUCAGGCGCGACAGCGUGGGGAUCAAACAGG
rnacentral:rRNA from 1 species